GCGGCGGCCCGGCCCGGCCCGGCCGUGGUGAGGGAGGGCGCGGGGCAACGCAGCGAGUGUGACAGUGCGGGCAGUGGUGCCACCUUCCUCCUCAGCAGCAGCCCGUGGGCUGGUUCUUCUCGUCCUUUCUGUUUUCUCCCCUUCUGCAUUAGCCAUGAAAGACUGCUGUAGGCGGCUGUGCCUGGCGAAGGUGUGGCAGACGAAGAUUGGAGCCCUGGGGCUCAGCUGUUGCCAGCUGAGCCGGGACUGCAGACGGGCUGUUUGUGUUUUGGGAACGGGGAGCAGUGCUGCAGAACCUAGGCCUGCAUCCUCUGCCCUGGAAAGCUGUCAAAGGGAUGCUCCCAGAGAAACAUGAAAAAUGACAUAAGCUACGUGAAAGUAGCAUUUCGCAUAACAAAUCCAUUAAAUACCUAGCUCCUGCUGAUGGAGUGAAGUAUUCCAGUAUGGAAGGGGGUAUACAAGUGGGUGUUGCAGUAAGGGGAGUGAAAUUCAAAAUGUUUUCAGUUUUAUGCUCUUUGGACCUAGGAAGUCCAAGAGAAGCACUUGGAGUUGCACAUCUGGGCAGCCCAUGUUAGCCAUAAGGAUAUUGUCAUUAUAGGUAUAAUUAUAGUUUUAAUUGCACAAAAGGUCUGUGCACUUAGAAAGUUCAAUGUGCAAGCUGGAUAAAUUCAUGUAUUUUAUGGAGUAUGCAGGGGCACAUGCAGAGAAACUCCAUUGGAAACUCCAUCUAAGUUUUCAAGAUCUUAAGUUACCUGAUUUUAAUAGUGCAGGUAGCAGAGAAAUGGGAAUAUUCUCUCUUUUUUGAUCCUCUGAUAUAGCCUGAUAUUUCUUUUUCUAAAUCCCUUUGCUCUGCAAAGGCCUUGUACUAAAGUCAUUCACUUUCUCAGCACAAUGUGUCAGUAUUAGGCUCAUACAAAAAGCAUUUCCCACCGUGAAGUUACAACUUGUGAACUCAGCUCUGUCUGCUUGUAGGGUACAUUACAUGUGCAGUAACGGUUUCUAGAGGGCAAAGAGACACGUUUUCACAGUGAUAUUUUCUUCCAUGCUGAGGCCAUCCAGCUACAUGUUGUACAUGUUGCCUUUUAAUGAAAUCCAAAAAUGCUUGAUCUUAAAACAAUUGAAAGAUUAUUGCAAAUGUAAAUACAGUAAGACAGAUUGUGCUUUAUUCCCUUGCCAUUUCUGUGUUUAACAUAUUUAUUUCUUAAGAACUGUGAUUAUGGCCUAGUAAAAGCAAAAUGGAUGUGUUUUUUUUGUAGUUGCAGCCUGUGUUCUCAUAAAUUGGGAAUUUCAUCCCUGCAGUCUGCCAGCCUCUGAAAGUAUACAGGGUGCAUGCAGAUACACAGAAUUCCUCACAGGCUGAACCAUUUGGAGUGUGAUCAGCAUGAUGCUGGAUGGUGCAGCCCUGAGGUGCUAACCAAUGUGAGUAUGCCUGGCAGAAGCUGUCCAUGAGUCAGACACAGAAAGAGAUCAUGGCUGGCAGAGAAUGGGAGCAGCUCAUAAUAUUUUGGGGUUUAAGCAGUAAUGGGCAAUUACAGCACAUUACUCAUAUUGAGAUUACAGAAGAUGUUUGAAUGUCAUGUUGGCUACCACUGUCAUCCUGUACAUACACAAUUUUCUCAGAGAAUAUUAUAUAAAUACUGAAGCGCCCCUACUGUGAUGUUAGCUGUACCCUUCUAACAAACGGAAUUUUAAGGAGAUUUUGUAAAUGCCCAGAAAUUAUGUCCUUGCCAGAGUGCACCAAUCCCUGAGCACAUUCAGCUGUGAGGUUUCUACUUAGAAACACUUGCUUUUUCCGUACUGAGGGGCUAAGCUUGAACCCAGAAAUUAACUGACACAGUGCACUGUCUGAGCAGCUUCAUAGAAUCAGUCAAGGUUAGGAAAGACCUCCAAGAUCAUCAAGUCCAACCUUCACAUCAAAAGCGAGCUGUUGCAUGCUGUCCUAGCACCCUCUUGAUGGUUCUGUUGCCUCAUUUCAUCCCCUGUGGUGUUUUGCUUCUGUAUGGUUCCAGAGGCAGGCGGCUGUAGAGAUUGUGUAAGUGCUCUCUGCUAACCCAGCCAUUGUAGCAUGAAGGGUUGUGCAGGAGAGGCAAGAUGUACUUUUGCCAAGAGCUGGGUGCUGCUAAUGAAGGGCCUGCACCUCAGUAUCCUCACAGGCAAAAUUUCUGCCCACUUCAAAAGUUUUGACCACGUAUCUUGCCUUCUCUACUGAAUUCUAGGUUGAUACAUCUUGUUAGCUGAAUUAGAACCUAUUCUGGAGCUUUGGAAAUUCAAAAAGUUAUAGAGUCUGGUUUCUUUCUUGACUGCUAGUACGUUAGCAAUUAACUCCAACAGGACACUGCUCUGAACAUGAGGGAUUUUUUUAGACAAAGAAUUUUUCUCAUGGAUUGGCAUCUUACAUCUCAGACCCUCAUCAUAUACCAGCCAGCAACUGGUAUAUUUGUGUGAUAUAUAGCUGAAAGUGAGAGAGCCGGAGUCUUUUUAGCUCUUAAUAUUUCCCUCAUUUGAGCACAGAACAAAAUGGCUUCACCCAGGCUAAUAACCACAACUCAGUGUUUAUCCCUGAUAAAACAUAUCCAAGUUAAUUCUUACCCUGUAUCUAUGCUAUCAAAUACUCCAUUGCAUAUUCCCAGGCUCUGAUCCUCUUAUUGCCCAUAGGCAAAUGAUUGUUGAUGGCCAGGUCACAGUAGGCAUUAAGCAGAUAUUUCUGUCCAAAAAAAGCUCAAAUAUCACUGGGGAAAUAGUUUGCUCAAAGGGUAGUUUGUUCCCAAAGACUACAGAUGAGGGUGCACCAGGGUUAACACUGCACAGCUUGGCUUGGCACUUGUGGUCCUGCAUUCUGGUGCAUGCAUUUACCAGUGUACAAAUAGCCCCCAAGCCUGUUAUGUAAGCCCUCCAUGACUGCAGGUAAUCCUCUAAGUAUCAUCAAAAUUCUGGAGUGCUGUGGCUGUGAGCCUCCAGACAAUAAGAUUUUUCAAGGAGUAAUGAGUUGAGAAUCUCAAUUUUCUUAAAACAUAAGAGCUGGUGAGAAAUACCUCUCUGACACUCAGCUGGACUAACGUGAACAAUACACCUUAGAUUCGAUCUGUCUUUGUACCUGUCAAAUAGAAACUAGUUUUAAGCAAAGUUUUAAUUACUUCCAGCACAAAGGAAUGGUGAAAAUGCUGAUUGCUGUUAAGGGCUGUGCAUUUCAGUGUGUUUCAUAUUUUCUUCCCAGGAGACAGAUCUAAAAGUAAAGUACUCAAGAGUUGAAAAGCAAUUAUAUAUUAUACAGGAUGUUUAAAACAGCUUCAAGGCCAUUUUGCCAAUCUCUCCUUUUUUUUCUUUUUUUUGGUUGGUCUUAAGGACAACUGGCUCCUUUGCUUGCUUCCUUCCAGAGAUCUAGCAAGCUGUUGUGCAUUCUCUCCCUUCCUUGCAGUUACUAAUUUUCUAAUUAAGUCUUUGUGCCUGCCCCCAUUAGAUCAAUCAGAACUGAUUCAGUUGCCACUGAUUGCGGUGGGAACAGGCUCAGGCUUUAAGGGCCGGGUUUGCAGGAAAGCUCAACAUCUAUAAUUGGGGCCAGGUUUCCAAAAGAAGUGGCAAGUGUGUUCAAGCCACUGCUGUGGGAAAUGCUCCCAGCCCUGUUUUUACCAUGCUGGCCUCAGCUCUGGAUGUAGAACACUUGGAAACUCUCCUUCAGAAAUUUGUACUGCCCCAGUCAGUGCAAGAGCUGUCAGCAGCCUGGGGAGAGGCAGUUGACACUUGUCCUGUUGUCUGGAUGAAGCAGAGGGUUUGCUACUUGUUUUUCUUCUUACUGCUCUUCUACUGGAUCUUAUUGUUCUUACUACCAGCUGUUGAACAAGAAUACUCACAGGCUUAUUGACUCAGGCUCCCUUCCACAUGCAGGUAUGUAACUCACCUGGGCAUCAAGAGGACCUUGUAGAAAGUAAGCUUUCUCAUAUGUUGAUUUGCAUGCCCACAGUUUGCAUCUCUCACGUUUGAGCUGCAGCAUGGGGAAGGGAAUCAUGGAUUCUUCCUUUCUAUUACUAAUUGUACAGAAGAGUCAGUAUGGCUGAGAUUCAAAUCUGUGGGCGAAAUCAGUCUCUGAUAUAACUAUUCAUCUCAGUGAAAUUACAGCAGGCUUGAUUAAAAUUAUCAUGACUGGUAAAUGUAAAGUACCUUAAUUUUUAGACUGCAGUCACAUAGGCUUAUGCACUUGCACUGAUUUUUAUUCAAAUGAGACAUUUGGUAGAAAUUCAGUAUUACAAACACAUACACACGAUUUCUCAGAAUUUCAUACAAUUUGUUCAGAAACCUUGCAAUAUGACAUUGUUCUUUUUGUACUUUUUGUACUGUGCGGUAUCAGAUGGCACUUGUGAGCCUUUUUUAUUUUCCCUCAAGUACUAUACUUUCUAAAAAUGUUGUCUGUUUCCUCCUAUGGCUAAUACCUGUGGGACUUGCAUCUACUCCAGCAGUGAACAGAAGCCUGAAGAAACCUAUGCCAACAAGCAACAGUUUCAAAUUGCAGUCCUGAUGUAACAAUCCUUUCUGUAUUAUAUGUAGAACAUACAAAGGUCCUCCUUGUGAUGCAAAGUCCCUAACAACUAGAAUUUAGAGAAGAUUAAUUAUCUGAGAAAAUAUUCAAGGAUCCAGGACAUUUGAAACAGGUCUUGGCAUAAAGAAGCAGAAGCUAUUCUAGGUUAUUUUUUUUCUGCACAUUUACCUUGUAGUUUUAAAGUCUGAUGUCUUGGGACCUCAUAAAGCUCAGAGUAAGAGCUCUGUGAGAGAGAUCAUCUUCUCUGACAGCACAGCGUUCCGGUUUCCAGUCCUGAGAAGAUGAGGCUUGUGAUAUGUCUGAUGCUCUUCUUUUCUCUCUUCUUUGGGCCAGCAGGUAGGAGCUGUCUGUGUUCAACGUUUGGAGUGAAGGAUUGCUUGUCUGUCUGCUGCUUCUAAAAUAGCUGUGGAAAGCUACUCUCUAGAGCUUUGGAAUCUUGUGCCUAUUGCUAAAGAAGGUGGAACAGUGGGAGGACGACUAUACUGUGGGCAAUAAACUGUAAUAAGAGUAACUUAUUUCAUGGCUUCUGACAGUGCACUUUUAUGAAUGUUUAUAGAGUCAGUGUGUGCAUCUAGAAUUGUCUUUGGGUCUUCAUAUUAUUAGAUUUCUGUAAUACUCACAACCAGCAGUGAGCAGGCUAUUUAAUCUGUAGAAAUAAUAUGUUUUUUUUUUUUCUUUAAAUACUGGAAACAGACCUUUCCUACACAAGAAGGGGAGAUGAUUUAACUGAAACAUAGCUGGUUUCCUGCAUUGUAGUCAACAUUGAGUGCGUAAUGAUUAGCUUAAGGGUGUAUUUUCAGUUUUCCAGUAGACCUUUAUAUUACUGUGGGAAGAAAAGGAUCAUUUUCCAUUUGUAAUUUCAGUCUAGUGGCAAAAUUCAAAUUAAACAUAUUUGCAGCCGCUUGACCUUUGGGCUGCAAUGACUUAAUUCCCCCUAGGCUGUUUGUUGAGGAGCCACACCUCCUUCUGCAGGGAGUGAGCAUUUGUCUGGGACACCAUCAGUUUGUGUGCUGCUGCUUGCAAGUUAAGGUGCUGUGGCCCAUACACAUGUUCAUAGCUUUGCCCCUAAGUGAGAUAAAAUGUCUUCAGUUAAACUACUUUCAUUUAAGUUUGAGUGCUUCAUUUAGCCACUGGGGCAACUUGAGAGAAACUAUGCAGCUUCUGGUGGGUCAGAAGAGUCACUGUGACUCAGGUGUAUCUAAUCACAUCCCAAACCAUGUAGAUUCCACCUGCUCAUGAAACCUGCAAGAUUCCACUCUGCUCAAAGUGCAGAAGGCAUGCUCAGAUCCCUUUGGGCACAGAACUGAUGGCUCCAACAUUUUUGGAGGUGUUGAUGUUCUGACUUGUAUGUGCCGUAGCAUAUUGAUGUACACAAGGUAAAGGUAAAUACUAUCAAUGCAGAAUUUUUCUCUCUUGGUUGUAGCAAAGUGUUUUGUUUACUUUGUACAACUUCAAAAUAUUUCACAAAUGUCUUUUCCCUCAUUAAUACCACCUCCAAAAUUUUGUGUUUGUACCAACCAGGUACUGAAUGCUUGCGCAGUGACUUGGCAGCACUUUCCCAAGAUGUCAGUGGAUGCACUGGGGUGUCAUAUCUGAAGAAUUAAUCCCCCCUGUCAGACUGUGGAGAGCAUUGUGGAGUCACUCUUAGCCUCCUGUGAAUGAGACAUAGGUUUCAGGUUUAUUGUUGUGUGGCUGAAGUUUGGCAAAUCAUUGCACAUCUGCUGAGCUUCUGUAACCAUGCUCACAAAAGCACACCGCAGACACAAAGCAAUGUCACCUUACAUCUCUUCUCCUCUGGGCUGAGCUAAAAUCUCCUCUUAUUUGCUCCGAUAGGAGGACAUCAUCACUUGCUGUGAGGUCACUGGAAUCUAUUCAGACUUAAAAAUCAGGAGUAUUAGCCCUUAAUUCCAGGUGAUUAAGAAUGAUUCUAGCAGUAUUUUGCAAGAACAGGGAAGCUUGUACUGGAGCCCUGUGGGUGGAGCUACUUUCUUGUUAAAUUUUUUUUGCAUUAUAAAACUGAGUGUAAUUUUCCAGUUUCAUGCCUGUUCCAAGCUUCUGUGUAAAGUUCCUGUGUAAUGAUAAACAGUUGCUUUUUGCA